rnacentral:lncRNA from 1 species
GAGAUCCCGCCUUCCAAGUGUAGUUUCAAGGGCAAUUUCCUGCCACAGUGCUAGGUUAAUUUUCUGUAGAUUGUCUCAUAUCACCCUUUACUUUGUCCAGUUACUAAUUUAUAAUGACUCAGACAUUACCUCACUAAGGUCUGCUUCCUCCUUUAUGAGGAGAAUCUAUAAGGACAGGAACAGCGCUCCUUUGCCUCAUACCAUGUCACCUGUGGCUCAAGUAGUCCUGGCACAAGGGUGGGACUCAUCAAAUGUCGAAUUGUUAAUGGGCAAGUGGCCUGCUGCUGAUGUUGUUUGAGGCAGGCUAGCCGUCUCUCCGGUAGGCAAGGGAUGGCUUUGCCAAGCAGCCAACCUGUGUGGGUUCCCUUGGCAACUCUAAAUGGCAUACUUCUGCUUCCAUUAUCCCUACAUCGAGCCCAAGACAUGACCAUAGGGCCUUCUCAGUGAAAACAUGACAUUGCCAGCCACUCAAAAGCCCUCCAAGUUUCUGCCUGGAAAGCGCCAUCUACCACCAUCAGGCUAGAUCCACUUCUCCCUUGAUGGGCUGCAUGGACCAGUAUCCCUCAGCUCCUCACACAGAGAGCCCUGUCCACAGAGCUGCUCCUAGGUGGCAGCUGCAACCAAGACAGCCAAGAAAAGCCACAGCUCCCCAUGCCUUCUCACUGAAGAAUUCAGUCAGCAAACAAACAUCCUCCUCACUGCCAUUAGGCAACCUGUUGGAUUGUACGCUAAUUUAAAAGGUGAGUUAAUUAAAAUGUCUUCGUAAUUGAAAACCGAUUAAGAUAAAUUCUAAGGCCACCAACUUGCCAUCCAUGAGCAGACACUUCUCUGAUUUUCUCUUUUCUUUGGUUCUUCUGUCCCAUUCUUUUCCUCCCUCUUUUAAUUUAAUUUUAUCUCCUAGGAAAGAGUUACAUGGAGAAAGGUUUGAGAAGCUGAAGGAGGUGCUCUGGGUUUCCCUGGGUUUGCACACAAGCUCAGCCCAACAGGGUAAGAUACUAGAUAGCAAAAUCGCCAAGUGUUGAGGACCUGCUUCUCCAGAAAACAGAUAUGAAGAGGAUGUUUCUUUUAAUCUAGCCUAGGCUGAUUUAUCCCCUAAACAUCUGCCAGUUGGCCAGCAGUCUGGUAGAAAACACUUUUGCAGAAAGACUUUAACUAGCAAAUCCAUCAAUGAAGCACUUGGGUUUUAUGAAUAACUACCUUCAAUUACAUAAAUUCUCUUUGCUGAGCCUUUGCAGAAAGCACAAAUGUGUGUACUCGAAAGUCUCGCCAUUAUGAAAUUAACUAGGUCUCACUUGCCUUCCUGUAGCACUGCCAAUAACUACACAGGGAGAGUGCACGAGGCCAAGCCCCUUCGUCCUUGCUGCCAUCACAAGAGAAGCUAUGCAAGCGUAUUCCAAGUGGGGACCUCGAACCACAAAGCUGGAGUAAGAGAAACAGAAUGAAAGGAAUACAUGGCCGCAUUUGAGGACAGUGCAGGAUUAUAUCAGCACUUGGGAUGAACAAGAAGAAGAAGAAAAAGAAGGAGGAGGAGGAGAAGGAGAAGAAGGAGGAGGAGAAGAAGAGACCAGACUUUUGAGAGCAGCCUGACUGGCAUAGUGAAACUGUAUCUUUAAAAACAAGACAGAGAAAUGUUUAUAUUUUUUUUAUUUUCUCCUUUUAUAGUUAUAUGUUAUUUAUUUAUUUUUUAGAAAAUAUUUUUACAUAUAUAUACACAUAUUUAUAUAUCUUACUCUCUUCUCUCUUUUGGCACCCUCAGGUUAGUAUCCUUUGUUCUUCUAGACAGUAUUACAUAUUUAUUGUAUGUACUUAUUGUAUUAUAUAUUUAAUGUGCAUAUAUAUGAUUUCAUGCAACUGUACAAAAUCUAGGAAUCACAAAUUAAAGAAAACUUAUGAUAGUUACACAUCAUUAUUCUUAGUAAUUCCUAAGUGUAUCAGAUACUCUAGUUUAGUAAACAUUUUGUAUGUAUAGACUCUAUUUUAUUGCUAUCAGUAAUAUAUGAAUAACAUUUUCUUGGGUUUCCUAUGAGGAGAUUUGGAGAAAAU